GAAUUCUGAGGUUCAGCGAAUUUCCAUUAACAGAAAUGGAUCAGCACUGUUCCUAAUUAGCUUGGAUGGUUUAUACGUCAUGUAUCUCUAUGGGAGGACUUCGACAAAAGAAAAUACAAUUAUUUGCCGGACAGUUCUAGUUGGUUCAGAGAUCUACUUUGACAGAAACAAUGCGCUACGCACGUUGAAGGUUUGUUGGCACCCUUACAGUGACACCCAUCUUGGAAUUCUCUCUUCUGAUUCGGUUUUCAGGGUUUUUGAUUUGUCUUCGGCCCUUGGCCAGCCAGAGCAGGAGUAUUAUCUACAG
rnacentral:misc_RNA from 1 species